rnacentral:misc_RNA from 1 species
UCUCCGUUGGUGAACCAGCGGAGGGAUCAUUACCGAGUUUACAACUCCCAAACCCUUGUGAACAUACCAUUUGUUGCCUCGGCGGUGCCUGCUUCGGCAGCCCGCCAGAGGACCCAAACCCUUGAUUUUAUACAGUAUCUUCUGAGUAAAUGAUUAAAUAAAUCAAAACUUUCAACAACGGAUCUCUUGGUUCUG